rnacentral:rRNA from 1 species
AUGGCGGACCUGAUUCCGGGCGAGGGAGAGCUGGCUUUCGGCGGCAACCAGGACGACGACGACGCGGAGGACGCCUCGCCGGGCAGCAAGGAGCUGGCCGCCAUGGUGGAGGCGGCGGCGGCGGCGAGCGUGGAGCUGGACGCGGCCGCCGACCGGGCGCCGCCGUACGGGGACGACCGGACGCCGAGGGACGGGAUGGUGUUCAAGUCGUACGAGGAGGUGCUCAACUUCUACAAGCGCUACGCCCUGCGCACCGGCUUCGGCGUCUGCGUCAAGAAGUCCUCCUUCACCAAGGCCGGCCUCUGCCGCCGCCUCCUGCUCGUCUGCAACAGGUGGGGGAACGGCAAGGAGGACGCCUGCUACCAGGCCAGGCCCACGGCCAAGACCAACUGCCAGGCCACCGUUGUCGCCAGGCUCUGGGGGGACGGCAUGCUGCACCUCACCGACGUCAGCCUCGACCACAACCACCCGCUCAACCCCUCGGCAGCGCGCUUCCUGCGGUGCUACAAGACGCUUCCCAGCGGGAUGAGCAAGGACCUGGUGGUGAGGGCUGCCAGAGGUGAAUGCGCCACCUCCGGUGGCGACGUCGAGGCCCCCCCGAUGUUUGAUGACUGGGGGCGACUCAAGAUCAGGGAGGGUGAUGUUCAGGCUAUCAAUGGCUUCUUUGCGGAGAUGCAGGCCAAGCAGCCAAACUUCUUCUAUGUCAUGGAUUUCUAUGUGGAGGGUCACCUGAGGAGUGUUCUUUGGGCUGAUUCAAGAUCCAGGGAAGCAUACCAGUAUUUUAGCGACGCUAUUUGGGUCGAUACCACCUGCUUGAGGAGUAAGUUCAAUGUGCCCCUGGUUUUGUUUCUCGGGGUGAACCAUCAUGGCCAGCUUGUUUUGUUAGGGUGUGGCUUGCUUUCGGAUGAGAGUACAGAGAGCUUCCUGUGGCUGUUCAAAGCAUGGCUAACUUGUAUGAAGGGAAGGCUUCCAGGCGCCAUGAUUACGGAUGAGUCUGUGGCGAUAAAAGCUGCGGUUCGAGAAGUGUUUCCCAAAACGCGCCAUAGGAUAAGUGAUUGGCAUAUAGUGAGAAGUAUUGCUGAGAAGUUAGGAGAGUUGCCAGAAUAUGAAUCAAUAAAAGUCCAAAUGGAGGCAGUAAUAUAUGGUUCCUUGAAGGAUGAUCAGUUUGAGACAAGGUGGAAGAACUUGAUCAAUAGGUUUAGCCUUCAGGAUAAUGAAUGGAUCAUCUUUCUGUAUGAAAAUCGACACUUGUGGGUCCCUUCCUUUCUGAAAGACGCCUUCUGGGCUGGACUGUCUGUUAACCACCGGGAAAGCCCAGGUGCAUUCUUUGAUGGUUCAGUGAGCCAUGAAACCACAUUGGUGUCGUUCCUUAGCAACUACAUGAUCCUUGUACAGUACAAGCACAAAAUGGAGCAACAGGAUGAUUUUGAGUCAUUAACCAGCGGCAGGGUCCUUGUAUCAAAGUUCCCUAUGGAAGAGCAGAUAUCCAAAUUGUACACCCUGAACAUGUUUGUGAAAUUCCAGGAUGAGCUAAAAUCAACGCUGGACUGCCAAGUUCAACAAGUAUCGCCAUCUUCUUUUGUAGUUAUUGACUUAGCUGAACAAGGCACAGGAUUAGUGACUAGAAAGUAUGAGGUUGUUCACUGUAUGGAGACCAACAGGAUGGAAUGUAACUGUGGCCUAUUUCAGUUUAGUGGAAUUGUUUGUCGGCAUGCGUUAUCGGUGCUUAAAUGGCAGCAAGUGUAUGAUAUCCCCCCUUGCUAUGUACUUAACAGGUGGAGGAGUGAUUUUAAGCAGCUGCACGCUCUGGAUAAUCCACUCAAGGAUCCUUUAGUAUCGAGUAAUCAUGUUGAGCGUUAUGACCAUAUUUCCUUGCAGUGCCUCCGUCUUGUUGAGAUUGGAAUGGUUUCAGAUGACAAGUAUCAGCAUGCAUUAAAACUAAUCAGCGACAUGAAAAGGACCCUUCUUGAUGAUAAUUUGUGCCGCGAGUUGGAGCAGAAAAUGUCACCUCCUGAACGCGCAAUUGUUGUGAAUGGUGAUAGCCAUGCACAGCCUGGUUCAUCUGAGGGGGGUCCAGCCAAAAAACGCCGCGGCCGUCCUCCCAAAAAGAGUAAAGAGAUAAGCGCGGAGUCUGUGUCAAAUCAAUGUGGAAACAAGGAGUCUUUACUGGUAUCUUCAGAUGUAAGUCAGAAGGGUGCUUUACAUUCUUCUUCGACUGCCUCCAACCUUGGUACUCAUGUCAGAGCACAUGGCGUUGAUGAUCUUAUGGAAGAAGUUAACGCUAAUGAGGUAUCAUUUGAGAGCCGUUAUGGGGUGCAAUCUAGCCAUCCAAAUCAUUAUGGUGACCAGCUGCAUCCAAGCCACACAUUGCAGUUUGGCCAACACAUGCCAUCCGCAGAGCAAUCUAGGGGAGUCGAGUGGGUGUAUCCGACUAUAUAUCAGGAUGAUCAAGUGCCUUAUGACAGGCGGACAUCUUGA